CGAGCGCUUCCGGGUGCCCGGCCGCCCGAGUCGGAGGCCCCACACAGCACUUCCGGCGCGCCGGCCCAAUCCCCACGCUGUUCCCGCCCACGGCGGAUCUCCCGCCCACCAGCGAAUCCCGCUCGCCCUGCCCACGCGAGGCCCUGCCCACCCGCGUGGGCGUCUGUUGCCAUUGGGCUGUGGGACGCCCGUCUGAGGUCAUGUUGGGGUUUGGGUGAGAGUCGCGGGAUCGAAGUGAAGCCGGACAACCCAGGGCGCUGGUGCCUGCGACGCAGCAGAGACUGUGGCUCCUGCGAGCGUCUAUUCCCAUCCUGCCUGCCUGAGGCUGUGGACAGGCUUGCAGACGCAGAGACCUGAAGUCACCACAAAGGGUGGUCUGACAUUAAACUGUAACUAAAAGCAGUCAUGGCGGGCGGUUACGUCCUAGGCCUGCAUCUUCACUGACAAGGUUUCAAUGGUUUUUACGUUGACAUUACUUGGCGUAGUCACAGAAAGAUUCCAAAGAAGCUCACUAACUAGGAUCCAGCAAAGGGACCGUUGAGCCCGCAGGUUCUCCGCCCAUUGGGUGAACUCGGGUAUAUUAUAUCUUUAGAAAAGUCCAUGAAAAGGGCUCUGACACUCGCCUUCAUCUCAAGGAUGAGAAGCCGCCGACUAUGGAGGAGGUUGACAGCCAUCCCCAGACGUCAACAGGGCUGUGUGCCCACAGACUGAUGCUGCUCAAACCUUGUUCUUAUAUCCCCUAAUUGUCAUUGACUGUACGUAUAUACAAAUGAUUUUUAUACUGUCACGAUCCUCCUUAUGGUUUCUUAGUGGAAACAAUAUUUGUCUCUCUAGAACUCUUUCCCUAUUAGACAUGAAAAAUUUUCCACCUACUAGACAGUGAUAUUCUGAUGAUUGCCUAUGAUGAGUAUUGCCUAAAUAUAGGAAAGGAUAAAAUUAACUGCCCAGAAGAAAAACGGAAACUUCUGGAUAAUAGCAGAUAUUUGUUUCCCCUACAUUUUCUGUUCCUAAUCAAUGUUACUGGUUUAUUAUUGUUACUUUUAUUCCUGGUAUGUAAAUGUUAUGCUAGAUGCAGAAAAACAAAACUUGACAAACAGCAAAAAGACUUGGAUCAUGGUGGCUCAAAAAUUAGAAAUGAUCUUUAACAAGGACAUGUAGGAUCUGACUGCCUCCCAUUUACCUUCCCUUUUUGAAUAAUAUUAAUUCGACCUUCAAUGCCAGCAGGGGUCCCGGAUUGGAGAGGGUGCAGGAUGGGCUGAGGGACCCCCACACCGCCCCCCCCCAUGAGUUUUGUGCACUGGGCCUCUAGUAUCUAUUAUAAAGGACCUACCUUGGACAAACCUCUCCAAGAGCACUUCCCUAAUAAUUCCCCUGGUAGAAUAAUAUGUAGAUCUAAUCUAGAUGAGUAUUUUAGAUGAAUAUUGCCUAAAUAUAGGAAUGGAUAAAAUUAACUGGCCAGAAGAAAAAUUAAAACUUCUAGAUAAUGAAAUAGUAGAGAGUCUUAAUUCAUCUGGCCAAACAUAUCAUAAGGUACAAAUGAUAGUGAAUGAGGAGGAAAACAUAUAAUUAGCCUAAAAAAUUAGGAUAAUACAUGUAAAGGGUUUUUCAGUUGGCUGGGAUGCUUUUUCCCCUUAGACUUUUCCUUGUCUAGUAUUAGACAUUUUCUGUUCUUAAUCAGUGUUACUGGUUUAAUAUUGUUACUUUUGUUCCUGAUAUGUAACUGUUACAUGUAGCUGCAGAAAAGCAAAACUUAAGACAAACAGUAAAAAGACUAGGAUCAUGGUGGCUCAAAAAUUAGAAAUGAUCCAGAAUACUUUUUAACAAGAACAUAUAGGAUCUGACUGCUGAAAGGGCGAGGGCUACGCCCUCCAUCUUGCCCCGAAUCCUCCAUUUUUCGGUAGAGCUAUGUGCUCAGCAAGGCUUCUUCCCGGAAGCCCAAGCCUCUGCUAGUCACACCCAGGAUUUCUCUAAACUAACCAAUGACAA